rnacentral:ncRNA from 1 species
GACUGUUUAAUUGAAACAAAGCAUUGUGAUGGUCCCUGCAAAUGCUGAUGUUGCACGAAAUUGCAAGUAGUCAACGCUCCCCAGUGCAUUGUGAAAAGGGACUAAUCACCUCUCGCAGAUCCUUGAAAUCUGGCGGUGGUGAGUUUACCAAUCACCUACAGGUUUUGGUCUAACGACAACCGUACUACCAACAAAUGGUAUUAGAGCUAGAGUUCAUGAGUUCGAUACACACUUGGCUCACGCUGAGGGGGAGAUUGUUGCACGAAAUUGCAAGUAGUCAAUGCUCCCCGGUGUAUCGUGAAAAAGGACUAAUCACCUCUCAUAGAUCCUUGAAAUCUGGCGGUGGUGAGUUUACCAAUCACCUGUGAAUUUUGGUCUAACGACAACCGUACUACCAAUAGCUAACGCAAUGUGAUUUAUGCCCAUUUCUCUACAUGUCAAAGUGAAGAAAUUCAACCAAGCGCAGGUAAAGGAUGGGAGUAACUUUGACUCUCUUAAGGUAUCUAGAUGCCUCAUCAUCUAAUUAGUGACGUGCAUGAAUGGAUUAAUCAGAUUCCUACUGUCCCUGGCUACUAUCUAGAGAAAACACAUCCAAGGGAACGAGCUUGG